AGGAAGCUUCCAGGGUAAGCAGUUUAACAUGCUGGCUGUUAAAUACAUUUACCCAUCAUGCAAAGAAGGAUAACAGGAUGAUUAUAAGAUGGAGCUCGUUAAAUAACAAGAUUCUGGUUAAGUAAGAAGAUGCUGUUCUGGAAUUGUUAAAUGGAUAGGAAGAAAUCCUAUCCCUAAAUAGACUGUUAUGAUCACCUGCAGAGAACGAUGGAUUCCCCUAGCAAAACUUGGUUUGGAGACACUAAUGAUGGCACAAACAUACCAAGAAGGUAUGAAAAGACAUCAAGAAUAUAUAAAAAAUACACCAAGAAGGUAUGAAAUUCUCCUUAUUAUAUUGAAAUUAUGCAAUUUCAGA
rnacentral:lncRNA from 1 species